rnacentral:rRNA from 1 species
AUUGAACGCUGGCGGCAGGCUUAACACAUGCAAGUCGAGCGAGCGGCGGACGGGUGAGUAAUGUCUGGGAAACUGCCUGAUGGAGGGGGAUAACUACUGGAAACGGUAGCUAAUACCGCAUACCAUCAGCUGUGCCCAGAUUGGAUUAGCUAGUAGGUGGGGUAAUGGCUUACCUAGGCGACGAUGCCUAGCUGGGCUGAGAGGAUGACCAGCCACACGGGAACUGAGACACGGCCCAGACUCCUACGGGAGGCAGCAGUGGGGAAUAUUGCACAAUGGACGAAAGCCUGAUGGAGCCACGCCGCGUGAGUGAAGAAGGCCUUCGGGUUGUAAAGCACUGUCGGCGGUGAGGCGGUACUCACAGAGGAAGCACCGGCUAACUCCGUGCCAGCAGCCGCGGUAAUUC